rnacentral:rRNA from 1 species
AACGAACGCUGGCGGCAUGCCUAACACAUGCAAGUCGAACGAAGGCUUCGGCCUUAGUGGCGCACGGGUGCGUAACGCGUGGGAAUCUGCCCUUUGCUUCGGAAUAACAGUUAGAAAUGACUGCUAAUACCGGAUGAUGUCGCAAGACCAAAGAUUUAUCGGCAAAGGAUGAGCCCGCGUAGGAUUAGCUAGUUGGUGGGGUAAAGGCCUACCAAGGCGACGAUCCUUAGCUGGUCUGAGAGGAUGAACAGCCACACUGGGACUGAGACACGGCCCAGACUCCUACGGGAGGCAGCAGUGGGGAAUAUUGGACAAUGGGCGAAAGCCUGAUCCAGCAAUGCCGCGUGAGUGAUGAAGGCCUUAGGGUUGUAAAGCUCUUUUACCCGGGAUGAUAAUGACAGUACCGGGAGAAUAAGCUCCGGCUAACUCCGUG